CUCGGCCUCGGCCUCGCAGUCGCAGGCAGCCUCUCCUCGUCAACCCAUCCCGUUCCUCCAGGAGCGGGAGAACCCCUCCGCCCAGUCGCCCCGAAAAAAUGCUCCGUGGGUCUGGGGCCGCGGCUCCGGUCGCCGUUCAGCUCGUUUGGUGGCGUAUUUGCCGGCGGGAUGGAGGAGAGAAGGGUAGGCGGAGGGCCGUGGCGCCGCCGCCAAGGCUAGGCGAACCGGCGAGGGGACGUACAGAUCUUGUUUUUUCAUCAACCUGUGAAGGCAGGCGAAGCCAAGCUGAAUAAGCUACAGAUUCUUCAACUGUAAGCUGUGGAGAAUGUAUGUCAACUUGCUCACAAUAACCUAAUAUUCUGACAAAUGUUUCUUGCACCUUGG